rnacentral:rRNA from 1 species
AACUUUAUUAGAAGAGACGCAUUUAUUAGAUAAAAAGCCAAUGCAUGCUUUUACAGUAUGGAAAUUGGUGAUUUAUAAUAACUUGGCAAAUCGCAAAGUGAAAACAGGCGAUAAAUCAUUCAAGUUUCUGACCUAUCAGCUUUCGACGGUAUGGUAUUGGCUUACCGUGGCAGUGACGGUUAACGGGGGAUUAGGGUUCGAUUCCGGAGAGGGAGCCUGAGAAACGGCUACCACAUCUAAGGAAGGCAGCAGGCGCGCAAAUUACCCAAUUCUAACAGUUUGAGAGAGGUAGUAACAAGAAAUAACAAUACAAGGCAAUUAAAAUGCUUUGUAAUUGGAAUGAUAGAAAUUUAAACCCUUUUUAAAGUAUCAAUUGGAGGGCAAGUCUGGUGCCAGCAGCCGCGGUAAUUCCAGCUCCAAUAGCGUAUAUUAAAAUUGUUGCAGUUAAAAAGCUCGUAGUUGAAGUUCUGCUAAAAGUAACCGGUCUGCUUUUAAUAAAAGUGGUAUCUUGGUGUGUAUUUAGCAAUGAUGUCCUUUGAAGUGUUUUUUACUUUAUUGUAAUAAAGCAUAUUCAGGACUUUUACUUUGAGAAAAUUAGAGUGUUUCUAGCAGGC